CCUACGGGAGGCAGCAGUGGGGAAUAUUGCACAAUGGGCGAAAGCCUGAUGCAGCGACGCCGCGUGAGGGAUGACGGCCUUCGGGUUGUAAACCUCUUUCAGUAGGGAAGAAGCGAGAGUGACGGUACCUGCAGAAGAAGCGCCGGCUAACUACGUGCCAGCAGCCGCGGUAAUACGUAGGGCGCAAGCGUUAUCCGGAAUUAUUGGGCGUAAAGAGCUCGUAGGCGGUUUGUCGCGUCUGCCGUGAAAGUCCGGGGCUCAACUCCGGAUCUGCGGUGGGUACGGGCAGACUAGAGUGAUGUAGGGGAGACUGGAAUUCCUGGUGUAGCGGUGAAAUGCGCAGAUAUCAGGAGGAACACCGAUGGCGAAGGCAGGUCUCUGGGCAUUAACUGACGCUGAGGAGCGAAAGCAUGGGGAGCGAACAGGAUUAGAUACCCUGGUAGUCCAUGCCGUAAACGUUGGGCACUAGGUGUGGGGGACAUUCCACGUUUUCCGCGCCGUAGCUAACGCAUUAAGUGCCCGCCUGGGGAGUACGGCCGCAAGGCUAAAACUUAAAGGAAUUAGACGGCUUGAGACGNGCGAGACGACGACGAGGAGAGG
rnacentral:rRNA from 1 species